GUACUUGCAUUGGCAGUACAUAUACUAAAAUUGGAACGAUACAGAGAUUAGCAUGGCCCCUGAAAUGAAAUGUAUUUAUAUUUAUUUGUCAGAAUAUGGUACAUUGAUGCCUACGCAAGGAUGACACGCAAAAUCGUGAAGCGUUCCACAUUUUU